UGGGGAAUAUUGGACAAUGGGCGCAAGCCUGAUCCAGCAAUGCCGCGUGUGUGAAGAAGGCCUGCGGGUUGUAAAGCACUUUCAGUAGAGAAGAAAAGCUCGAGGUUAAUACCCUCGGGUCUUGACGUAACCUACAGAAGAAGCACCGGCUAACUCCGUGCCAGCAGCCGCGGUAAUACGGAGGGUGCGAGCGUUAAUCGGAAUUACUGGGCGUAAAGCGCGCGUAGGUGGCCCGUUAAGUUGGCUGUGAAAUCCCCUGGCUCAACCAGGGAAGUGCAGUCGAUACUGGCGGGCUCGAGUCCCGGAGAGGGUGGUAGAAUUCCCAGUGUAGAGGUGAAAUUCGUAGAUAUUGGGAGGAAUACCGGUGGCGAAGGCGACCGCCUGGACGGGUACUGACACUGAGGCGCGAAAGCGUGGGGAGCAAACAGGAUUAGAUACCCCCGUAGUCC
rnacentral:rRNA from 1 species